rnacentral:rRNA from 1 species
GUAGUCAUAUGCUUGUCUCAAAGAUUAAGCCAUGCAUGUCUAAGUAUAAGCAAUUAUACAGCGAAACUGCGAAUGGCUCAUUAUAUAAGUUAUCGUUUAUUUGAUAGUACCUUACUACUUGGAUAACCGUGGUAAUUCUAGAGCUAAUACAUGCUAAAAAUCCCGACUUCGGAAGGGAUGUAUUUAUUAGAUUAAAAACCAAUGCCCUUCGGGGCUCACUGGUGAUUCAUAAUAACUUCUCGAAUCGCAUGGCCUUGCGCCGGCGAUGGUUCAUUCAAAUUUCUUCCCUAUCAACUUUCGAUGCUAGAGUAGUGUUCUAUCAUGGUUACAACGGGUAACGGAGGGUUAUGGCUCGACCCCGGAGAAGGAGCCU